rnacentral:tRNA from 1 species
CAGUUCGCGGUCAGCCUGGACACCGGCGGCUACGACCUGCUGGUGCUGUGCGAGGACGCCGAGAAGGUGUCGAUCGUGACCGACGCGGACGGCCC